rnacentral:rRNA from 1 species
AACGAACGCUGGCGGCAUGCCUAACACAUGCAAGUCGAACGAGACCUUCGGGUCUUGUGGCGCACGGGUGCGUAACGCGUGGGAACCUGCCCUUAGGUUCGGCAUAACUCCCCGAAAGGGGUGCUAAUACCGGAUAAUGUCUUCGGCCCAAAGAUUUAUCGCCUUUGGAUGGGCCCGCGUUGGAUUAGCUAGUUGGUAGGGUAAAAGCCUACCACGGCGACGAUCCAUAGCUGGUCUGAGAGGAUGAUCAGCCACACUGGGACUGAGACACGGCCCAGACUCCUACGGGAGGCAGCAGAGGGGAAUAGUGGACAAGCGGCGAAAGCCUGAUCCAGCAAGGCCGCGUGAGUGAUGAAGGCCUUGGGGAUGUAAAGCGCUUUUACCCGGGAAGAUAAUGACAGUACCGGGAGAAUAAGCUCCGGCUAACUCCGUG